rnacentral:rRNA from 1 species
GCUUAACACAUGCAAGUCGAGGGGCAGCAUUUCUGUUUGCUUGCAAACUGGAGAUGGCGACCGGCGCACGGGUGAGUAACACGUAUCCAACCUGCCGAUAACUCGGGGAUAGCCUUUCGAAAGAAAGAUUAAUACCCGAUGGUAUAAUCAGACCGCAUGGUCUUGUUAUUAAAGAAUUUCGGUUAUCGAUGGGGAUGCGUUCCAUUAGGCAGUUGGUGAGGUAACGGCUCACCAAACCUUCGAUGGAUAGGGGUUCUGAGAGGAAGGUCCCCCACAUUGGAACUGAGACACGGUCCAAACUCCUACGGGAGGCAGCAGUGAGGAAUAUUGGUCAAUGGGCGCAGGCCUGAACCAGCCAAGUAGCGUGAAGGAUGACUGCCCUAUGGGUUGUAAACUUCUUUUAUAUGGGAAUAAAGUUUUCCACGUGUGGAAUUUUGUAUGUACCAUAUGAAUAAGGAUCGGCUAACUCCGUGCCAGCAGCCGCGGUAAUACGGAGGAUCCGAGCGUUAUCCGGAUUUAUUGGGUUUAAAGGGAGCGUAGGUGGACAGUUAAGUCAGUUGUGAAAGUUUGCGGCUCAACCGUAAAAUUGCAGUUGAUACUGGCUGUCUUGAGUACAGUAGAGGUGGGCGGAAUUCGUGGUGUAGCGGUGAAAUGCUUAGAUAUCACGAAGAACUCCGAUUGCGAAGGCAGCUCACUGGACUGCAACUGACACUGAUGCUCGAAAGUGUGGGUAUCAAACAGGAUUAGAUACCCUGGUAGUCCACACAGUAAACGAUGAAUACUCGCUGUUUGCGAUAUACAGUAAGCGGCCAAGCGAAAGCAUUAAGUAUUCCACCUGGGGAGUACGCCGGCAACGGUGAAACUCAAAGGAAUUGACGGGGGCCCGCACAAGCGGAGGAACAUGUGGUUUAAUUCGAUGAUACGCGAGGAACCUUACCCGGGCUUAAAUUGCAUUUGAAUAUAUUGGAAACAGUAUAGCCGUAAGGCAAAUGUGAAGGUGCUGCAUGGUUGUCGUCAGCUCGUGCCGUGAGGUGUCGGCUUAAGUGCCAUAACGAGCGCAACCCUUAUCUUUAGUUACUAACAGGUCAUGCUGAGGACUCUAGAGAGACUGCCGUCGUAAGAUGUGAGGAAGGUGGGGAUGACGUCAAAUCAGCACGGCCCUUACGUCCGGGGCUACACACGUGUUACAAUGGGGGGUACAGAAGGCAGCUACCUGGUGACAGGAUGCUAAUCCCAAAAGCCUCUCUCAGUUCGGAUCGAAGUCUGCAACCCGACUUCGUGAAGCUGGAUUCGCUAGUAAUCGCGCAUCAGCCAUGGCGCGGUGAAUACGUUCCCGGGCCUUGUACACACCGCCCGUCAAGCCAUGAAAGCCGGGGGUACCUGAAGUACGUAACCGCAAGGAGCGUCCUAGGGUAAAACUGGUAAUUG